rnacentral:rRNA from 1 species
AGUCGAACGAGCGAGAGAGAGCUUGCUUUCUCGAGCGAGUGGCGAACGGGUGAGUAACGCGUGAGGAACCUGCCUCAAAGAGGGGGACAACAGUUGGAAACGACUGCUAAUACCGCAUAAGCCCACGGGUCGGCAUCGACCAGAGGGAAAAGGAGUGAUCCGCUUUGAGAUGGCCUCGCGUCCGAUUAGCUAGUUGGUGAGGUAACGGCCCACCAAGGCGACGAUCGGUAGCCGGACUGAGAGGUUGAACGGCCACAUUGGGACUGAGACACGGCCCAGACUCCUACGGGAGGCAGCAGUGGGGAAUAUUGCACAAUGGGGGAAACCCUGAUGCAGCGACGCCGCGUGGAGGAAGAAGGUCUUCGGAUUGUAAACUCCUGUUGUUGGGGAAGAUAAUGACGGUACCCAACAAGGAAGUGACGGCUAACUACGUGCCAGCAGCCGCGGUAAAACGUAGGUCACAAGCGUUGUCCGGAAUUACUGGGUGUAAAGGGAGCGCAGGCGGGAAGACAAGUUGGAAGUGAAAUCCAUGGGCUCAACCCAUGAACUGCUUUCAAAACUGUUUUUCUUGAGUAGUGCAGAGGUAGGCGGAAUUCCCGGUGUAGCGGUGGAAUGCGUAGAUAUCGGGAGGAACACCAGUGGCGAAGGCGGCCUACUGGGCACCAACUGACGCUGAGGCUCGAAAGUGUGGGUAGCAAACAGGAUUAGAUACCCUGGUAGUCCACACCGUAAACGAUGAUUACUAGGUGUUGGAGGAUUGACCCCUUCAGUGC